rnacentral:lncRNA from 1 species
GAUGGUCUAAUUCCGGUAAGGGAAUACCGAUUUCGGCGAGAAACUCGCCGAAAAAACCAAACCAGUCGUCCUUUUUCUCAUGUAUUCCCUCUCUUCGAUCGAUUCUCUCCCUUUCUCAAUUUGGAUUGUCUUCUCUCCGAUCUCACGCUCAGAUUUGUCUCUCACUGUGGUUGUGUGUAUGUAUAAUGGUUUUGUGUGAAGGCAGGUGUAUUAAUGGAAUAAACUCAUCAGUGAUGGUGUCUAUAUAUUCCUCUUUCCCGUAUUCUAUAUGUGUAUAUGUUGAAUUGAGAUCUUUUUCUUUAUGGUUACCGUGAUGUUCGUCCAUGGCGUGUAGGUGUGUUCGUGGUAUAUGGGUCUUCUCUAAAAAUGGAAAAAAAUGGUCAGAAUGUUACUGUGUGGACAUCUCUGUAUUGUUAUCUAUUGUAUUCUUAUGUAUUCGCCUCCCAGUUUCUGUGUGAAGUGCGUGUGUAUAUUGUGAAUUACAGUGAGUGAGAAUUGUGUGGUAGUGGAGUAGGGUAGGUGGGCUAGUGAGGUGCGGGUAGGGGUAGGAUGUGAUGUGGUUUAUUUUGAUUGGAUGGGUUGUUAGGAUAAGAUAAAAUUAGCUAGGGAUUGUUAUUUUUGUCAUUUUGUGGAGAUUAUCACACGGGGUAGGGUACGCGGUAGGAUAAGGUAAAAAUGUGUAAAAAUGAUAUAGGGAAGGGACAAAAUUAGGUGUCUACAUCAUGCCCCCUUUGAAUGUAAACACAAAGUAUUUUUGAACAAAGAAGUAGACAACAAGACAGAAUUUUGUCCCGAUCAUUAUUCGAAGGAAAAAUAGAAGAAAGAAGAGCAAUCGAGUAUUGACUUAGGACACCCUACCUACCCAAGUUAUGAGGGAAUCAAGUGACAGGAUUCUCAAAGGAUUGAAAGGAGAUGGACUUUACCGAGUUGAAGAGUCGAGUGAGGUCCCGAUGAGGUUCCAGUCCGCGCAUCUGUUAUUACAUCAUAAAUAAAAGUUACAAGUUAAAACAUAAAUAAAAUUACAAAAUCAUAUCUAUGCAGUUAGUUUCUUUUGGACUCUUAACUUGAGUUUCAUCACUCUAUUCUUCAGGCGGGCUCCUGACUUGCAAUUUCAUCACUUGUUGCUUGGUUUUCAAUCUCUUCACCCUGUUCUUCAGGCGGGUUCCUAACUUGCUAUUUUUUCAAUCUGUUGACUUUAAAUUUCUUCACCUUGUUGCUUGACUUUCAACUUCUUCACCUUGUUACUUGACUUUCAACUUUUUCACCAUGUUGCUUGACUUUUCAUUUAUUCACCCUGCUCUUCAGGCGGGCUCCUGAAAUCACAUCAAUACUAAAAAGAAAAAUUAUCCCAAACAAAGAUUAUUAUAAAGAGAUUUCAUUUGUCAGGAAAGCGAAGUUCCAAACACAGGAUUUAAAUUUUCCCCAGUUUCUCAUCAAAGGACUUUUGGGAAAGUCACAUCAUUAUAGGAAUCAAAGGGAAUGACUAGACUAAAAGGAACAUCUUAUAAGAAUCAAAGGGAAUGACUCAACUAAAAGGUACGUCUUCUAGGAAUCAAGGGAUAUGACUCGACUAAAAGGUACUUCUUAUAGGAAUCAAGGGGCAAGGGGAAUGACUUGACUAAGUCUAAUGACUCGACUAGGGAAUGACUAGACUAAAAGGAACAUCUUAUAAGAAUCAAAGGGAAUGACUCAACUAAAAUGUACGUCUUAUAGGAAUCAAGGGGAAUGACUUGACUAAAAGGUACGUCUUUUAGGAAUCAAAUGACUCGACUAAAGGCACAUCAUCUAGGAAUCAAGGGGAAUGACUAGACUAAAAGGUACGUCUUCUAGGAAUCAAAGGUAAUGACUCGACUAAAAGGUACGUCAUCUAGGAAUCAAGGGGAAUGACUCGACUAAAAGGUACGUUUUCUAGGGGUCAAGGGGAACGAUUCAACUAAAAGGUACGUCUUCUAGGGGUCAAAGGGAAUGACUCGACUAAAAGGUACAUUUUAUAGGAAUCAAGGGGAAUGACUCGACUAAAAGGUACGUCUUCUAGGGGUCAAGAGGAAUGACUCGACUAAAAGGUACGUCUUCUAGGAAUCAAAUUAAAUAACUCGACUAAAAGGUACGCCUUAUAGGAAUCAAGGAGAAUGACUCGACUAAAAGGUACGUCUUCUAGGGGUCAAGGGAAAAGACUCGACUAAAAGAUAUGUCUUAUAGGAAUUAAAGAAGAUGACUCGAAUAAAAGGUACGUCUCAUAGGAGUGAAGGUUCAAUUUAAGAAGUGUAUCACCUAGCAAAUGAAAACUAAAAUCCCUGGACAAGAAAGUGUCUCCGAGGGAUAUAGGAUGAUGAUUUUUUACAAUGACUUGAUUAUUAAACCUGUCCAACAACAUUGUUUCCUGCAUUUGUAGGAGUGAGGCAUUGCAGACCUUGAUAUUUAUGUUCCGAAUUCCUUGAUUUAAAGGUAAUAUGUUUCCUAUUUCAUCAAAAAAAACUUGUGAGUUAAAAAAUAUGGUGGCUGGCUUGUGGCUUUAGCUUUUGCGACAAUCGCUCUUGCCCCAGUCACAUUUAACCUUGCUUCCAACCAUUAGCAUAUGUCAUUGACUUGUUGAAUCAGUGAUCCAAACUCAUAUUAGGAAGAGUGACUCUGCCACAAACACAGUAUCUCUGCUUUGCCAUGUUUCUCAGUUAAACCCUUUGAACUAUGGUAUUUCCGUGGGUUCCCAGACUUGUCUAUUGACAAAACUUUCUAUAUGUCCUUUUUUCAGCUCACAAUUAUAUCUCUUUCAUGCGCUGGCCUUUUUGUCUUGCUUUGUACAAUUGAAGAAGUUGGUAGCCAAUUUUAAAAUCUUUUCUCACUUGUUUCGACAUGGACUAGACUCAAAGACAAGAGCGAAAAUGACCAUGAUUUUUUAUUUGGAUAACUGACUCAAGAAAAAUAAAAUAAAAAUAAAACAAAGAGAAGAAAGAAAAGACAAUGAAUGUACCCAUUAAAAAAAAUAAUGAAAAAUGUAUCUAAAAAUGACAGUUAACUCUAUUGAUUAUGCCAUGCAUUUUGGAUUAAGUUGCCUGAUCUUUCAUCUAAACCUUCUACUAAUUGUUGUUGAGUUAAUGACCUUGAAACUGAAUUGCUUCCUUGGGCCAAUUUGCAUUCAAAAAUCUCAUUUGGCUAGUGGCACCUUGAAGGGUUUUCGCCAACAAGCCUCUCUCAUCUUCUUUUCCUCAACUCACCAUAGUCUUAUGGUGUCUGUAAGAGUUUUCACCAACGAGACUCUCUUAUCUUCGUUUCUCUCAACUCAUAGUCGUCUUACGAUGCCCAUGAGAGUUUUCACCGAUAAGAAUCUCUCAUUUUUAUUGCUCUCUUGAUUUCUUAUGCCGAGGAAGACAAGUGGUUCCCAAAUGCAUCAUCAUAUCCCUUGCAUGCUUAGCCUUAACAUCCUCAAAGAUUGAUCCGAAGGUCUUUCUUUGGUUGUAACUUGGCUUUUGGAUAGGGUUAGAAAGAAGGGAUGGCAUGGGGCCCAAACGGCACUUAAAGUGGGGUAGGACUUACAAUUUUUAGAAACGACUCAAAUAAUGAGGAUUAACUUAUGCCCCAGUUUUUUACUAGGCAAUUCUAAAUUAUUUAUUUGGUUGGACCAAGCCCUAAGUAGGGCAUCCUACGUAUCUCACCCCCGAGAGAAAAGAAUCGGGUCAUGCGUAGUUCUGGCAACUUGUUUUGCUUGAUUCUGAUUUCAUUUUUCUUUUGACUUCUUUUUUUUUCUUUGUAAUUUUUCUGACUCUAAUUUACUUACUUUUUUUCUUCCUUCUUGGACACAUUUUCCUCUUUUUUUGAAAAAACUUUCUGACUCUACUCUCUUGCUCUAUACUUUUCUUUUGAACUUUAUUGGUUUUAUCUUGAUUCCAAAAAAGGGGUAUGAAAGAAAAUAACACUAAGGCUUAAAUGGGGUAGACAAAGGAUGACACAAUGUUUGAAUAACAGAAUAAAAUGUCUUUGUCAUAUCAAUCCUUGAAAAUGCACGUACAUAUCAUGCAAUAUAAAAGUGAAAGAUGAAGAUCAUUUGACACCUUAAAACCACUAUCUUUAAUUGAACAUGUGUGCUACUUCUUCCUCUACACUUGUCAAACAUAUAACUCCACCUUUGUUGUAUAUCCCUUACAUUGAAUGACUCAUACUUUCGUCGAGUUGAUUUUCUUUAUAUUCCUCUUGAUAGGAUCACGCAGACACUGUUUGACCUAAUCGAGACAUGUCUUUUAAUUGAUGACCAAGUUAUUCUUGUGAUUCUCAAAAUAAUUGCCUUAAUUUUUAGAAAAGGCUUCAACUUGUCACCAAAUAUCUCAGUACUCUACUAUUUUCUUAGAUGUUUCUCCUAACUUUAGCCCUCUGAUUCAAUGUUCAUGCUUAAACUGCAUUUUAAGAUCUGACUGAAAAUUCCGCAGGCAUGUCAUAUUACUAGAAUCAACAUAAAAUAUGUUGUAUAAAGAAAACAAACAAACAACACAUUUGAAACAUAAAAGGAAAGGGACACUUCAUUUAGUUGAAAUAAAAGAUAAAAGGGUUUGAACAUAAACGACGAAGGGACAAACAAGAUAGAUCUCGAACUACAACCCUGAAAUACUUCAAAAAAUAGAAAAGAAAACAAAACAAACUACCAGACCUCUUCCUAGUGGGGAGAUGGGUGACUUCUCAUUUGCUCAGCCUGACAACUUAGCCACUGGUUUGCAUAUCAACAUGACCAGAGCUUCCCUCACUGUCAAUGUUCUGCACCAUAAUCGAUCCAUCUUGAAUCAUCUUUUCAAUUUCCCUUUUCAAAUCUCAACAAUCUUUAAUACUAUGACCCUGAGCAUCAGAAUUAUACGCACAUCAUACAUUAGGGUCAAAAUUUCUUGAACAUCGAUUAAGAGUGCACUUAAGGAGAGGAGUGAUCAUGCUCCAUUGUACCAAUUUCUGAAACAAACUAGCAUACGACUCUCUAAUUGGUGUGAAGUUAUCUCUCGACUUCUGCCUCAUUUCAUCAUUUGGCUUGGAUAAAAAAUCAGGCUUAGAAGGGUUUUGGUAUAUUUGUGAAGUUAGAGGAUGACUCUGAAUUGUUGGUGUUUUCCACUGUGGGUAAGAUGGGGGUUGAUUAUGUGGUUGUGCAUUAUAUACUGAAUAUGGAGGUGGAGGAGCAGAGUAUAAUGGAUUUUAGGAGUGAUUAUGUGGAGCUUGGGCAUGACCUUGGGUUUGAGCCUGAGAGUGGCGACAACGGGGUCUUCUUGACCGUGCCCGCUGUCCAACUACAAUAGAGGAUGCAACUUCCUCAUUCUUUGUCUCCACAAUACUUCCUGAACCCUUUUGAAUUGCUUGAGUUGUCACUUUCAAUGUUGCAAAACUCACAAUGUGACCAGUCUUAAUUCCCUCUUCUAUCAUCUCCCCCAUUUUAAGGACCUCAAUAAAUGACUUGCCUAAUGCAGGUAACAAGUUUUGAUAAUAUAUUUCAUCCUGUGCUUGAAUAAACACCUUUGCUAUUUUGCUUUCUUUCAUUGGCGAUUUUACUCUAACAGCUUGUUCGCGCCAUCUGAUCGCAUACUUUCUGAAACUCUCAGUAUUCUUCUUUUUUAUACUAGUUAGGGAUUUUUCGUCAGAGAUCAACUCCACAUUGUAUUGAAAUUGUUGCACAAAUUCAUUAGCUAGGUUAUCCCAACUAAUCUACUUGUCAAUGUCUUGGUCAACAAACCAUUUCGAAGCUAGGUCUAAAAGACUCCCCCAGAAAUAAUCCUUGAGUAGUUCUUCCUUCCCUCUAGCGCCCCUCAAUUGGUUACAAUAGCGACUCAAAUGUGCCACUGGGUCCCCAUGUCCAUCAUAGUUCUCAAACUUUGGCAUUUUAAAGUCAGGUGGAAAGUUGACACCUGGAAACAUGCAUAAGUCCUUAUAUGAGACACUUUUGUAACCCUCAAGUCCUUGCAAGUUCUUCAUAGCCAGUUCCAAACUUCUCAAUUUUUUGGUCAUUUCCUCUUGUCCUUCUUUCAUAACAAGCUUCUCAGUGUUAGGAGGAAAUUCAAGUGGGUGAGUGUCACUGUAAAGACCAGUCAACUUGAAUGUAGGCUCGAAAGUGUACCGCUGAUCACCAGUAAUAUUCAAUCCAGGCUUUCUUGUAGAGUAGGGAGGCACAACUUGUGGACGAACAUCAAAAGUAGGAGCUUCAGGUGGGGGUGGCACCGCAAAAGCAUGAACAACAGGUGAAGCCGAGUAUGUGGUAGUCUUGGAUUGGGGAGUGAGGAAAUAAACAUUAGAAGUGGUUGGGUAUUGUUGCCCCAAAGUCGAUCCUGAUGCAUGUUGUGGCAUAUCAACAAAAAUGGGAAAUUGUGCAUAUGACACGAGAGGCAAGAUGGAAAGAUAUUCCAGAUUAUCAGUGGGAACUGGAGGAGGAGGUAACCCAUUAGCCCAAGCUCGAUGCAUUCCUAUCAUUUGCUGCCUCAAUUUCCGAAUCACUUCAUUAGCUCCUACAUUCUCACUUCUCAAACUCCCUAUCUGAUAGUGACAACAAACUCGGUAUCCUUGUUAGCCAUAACCUUCUCUAUGACUUGGUGCAAUAUGGAGGACCAGCUAAAAUGCCACAACCCAACCACCUCAAACUAACUGAACAAGAGAUAACAAAUGCGUUAGAGUCUAACACUUUCUCAAAAUCUCCCCUUUUUUUCUUUUUGAAAAGGUCACCGAACCCAAGAAGGCUACCUACGUAUAUCACCCCCUGAGAGAGGAGAAUCAGGUGUGCGUAGUUCAUGAAAUCUUGCCAAAAUGGUCAAAUAAACUCUUUUUCUUUUUCUUGAAACUUUAAAAAUAAAAGGAAAUAACAAAUUGUCAAAAGAAUUGACGAAAAUCUUUUUUGCAUUUUUCGGCUUUAAUAACCUAUACAAAAUGAAACCUAUGAUUACCAAAGAAAAGUCAUUUUGGAUUUUCGAUUUUGAAUUUCAUAUGAAAAUAAAACUUGAAACUAUUAAAGGAAAAUGUUUUUGUAGUUUUCUUUUUAGAGAUGUAUAUAAAACACUUACUUUAAAUAAAGAGUGAAGAAAAUCUUUUAGAAUUUUUCAAAUAAGAUCCCCGAACCAAAAAUAGGUUGCCUACAUAUCUCACAUCCCGAAAGAGGAGAAUCAGGGGUGCGUAGUUCAUCCAGAUUGGAAAAUUAAUGAUUAAAUAAUCGACUAAACCCGGACUUGAGAUACCAGACCACAAACAGAAGAUGAAAAACAUCAAUAAAAUCUUUUUAAGUUUUCAAUUUGACACUUAACCUAAAAAUGACACCAAUAAAUAUGCAAGGAAAAUCUUUUUUGAUAUUUUCGUUAUACGAAAUGUAUAAAACUUCUACCAGUUUUUAAAUUUUUCUUUUAUAAAAGGCUCCUAUUGAAAAAUAAUCUUUUUGAAAUUUUUGAAUUAUGAAUGCAUGCUAAAGGAGACAAAGCAAAAAACUUUCUGAUGUUUUUGAUUUUUGAGAAAUGAGUGCAAAAGGAAAAAAAAUCUUUCUGAAUUUUGAAUUUUGAAAAACAAAAGCCAUAAAGAACUCUGAAAACUAGAAACUCUCUUUUUUUUUCUUUUUGACUCACUAUUCUUUUUUUUUUUUUUUUUUUUACUUCUAACACAUGUUUUCCCCAAAUUAGUCCAUCAAAUGACCAUAUUACCCUCAAAGAUGCAACAAUUAACACGUAGGGAUGCUUUAGAGGCAAGUCUCCUACAAAAGGCCAAGUGGGCCCCUCUAGGUCUUCAAUAUGAUGCAUAUAAACAUGACCUACAAGGUGACCUACGUUGGGGUUCACUAACAAGGCUGUUCGGAGGAGCGUAUAGUCGAUAGUGGCUGCUUUGCUUUCCACCUACUCCAUAACAUCGAUGGCUCCUCCCCUAAAAUAAGGGUGACUCAACUAGAGGUCGUGUACAACACGUGUACUAUGGACUUGUUGCAGAAAGAAUGACUCGGGCUAUGCACAUGAUGCUAGAUAUAAAGCAGCAACACAUAAGAUAAAAUUAUAAACAAAGAGCAUGUAGGCACUCAAAAAAAUAACAAAAAGCAACGCAAAUAUAUGUCUAUACACGUAUAGUGACAAACUAAGCCGAUACAACUCCAAAUUAAGCUUGAAUUCUGAAAAUAGAUCUCCAACGGAGUCGCCAGAGCUGUCACACCCCUUUUUAACUCCAAAAAGAUAUUAUUUUAAAAGUUUGAAAGGGUUUUCGUUAUAAGUGACAAAAGAUAAAAAUUUGCUUCGAAAAGGACCUUUUAUAUUCAAAACUCAGAGUCGCCACUUGGCAUAAUCCGGUGUGCCAAGUCACCUUUGAAAAAUCCUUUUCAAAACGAUUUGACUCAAACUGGUUUGCGAACAGAGAUUUCAGCUAAGGAAUUCUGUUGACCGACGGAAAGGUGUUAGGCACCCCUCGAUCCUGUGGUUUGAACACGGUCGCUUGUUGGAGCGUAUCGGCUAAUUUGACACCACGAAUGUAUAAACCACACAAAAGCACGCAAAACAAUCAAUCAAGCAAAAAAAAUAAAAACAAUCCAAAAUUUGGUGUCCAGUCCAAUUUAUUACAAAUUGAAAUAGAAAAUACUGAAUAAACCUACACUAACCUAUACUAGUCCUAAAUUAAACUCUACCCGAUGCCUUGGGCCUUCAUCACAGACAUCCUCCGUGUACAAAAUACCUCAGGGCAUUCCCCAACGAAUAAACACAAAUACCUCGGGGCAUUCCCCAGCCAAAUGAAUACAUUUUCAAUGCAAGAAGACCACAAUCAUUCAAUAAUAUUUCAAACAUUCCACAAUUUAUAAUCCCUAAAUUUGCCUAUCACCCCUAUUGUUUGCCUAUCGAUUUGACGACCUAAUCUUGAUACUAUUAAGUUCGAUGACAUCAAUGAAUUAAAAUUAGUCCGUAUUCAUUUUUUUACUUUUCAAAUCCCGUCUCACUUUCAUUCUUGAUCAAUUAACCAAUUCCAAUACAGAAUCAACCAAUCAAAACUACGAUAAUCAUAGACGUUCAAACAUACUAUCAAAAAUUAUAUCAUCAAUCAACAUGAACCACGCAACUCACAACAUCACCUCACCAAAUUAAGUAAAACAAAGAGGAGGAGUUGAAGAAUUGGACCUUAGAAGAAGCUUUCAAAAUUGAUGUAUUAUUCCAAUAAAAACCCGGUACAAUCCGCGUCGAGAACCUCGAUUCAUACCUCAAUCACGAACUUGCCAACUCGAUCAAAACCCCAAAACAAUGGAGAAAACCACAAAAAAAAAAAAUCCAAAUCUCAAUUUUCGAACCAAGCUUGAAACGAGUCACGCUAGGUUUGCUAUUUUUGGUGAAGUUCGAACUCGCUGAAGCUCCGAUGGAUCUCGGCAGUCAGCGAAACAAUGUUUUCCCAGUGAGAUUUUGCCAGAGAACUAGAAACGAAAGAGAAUUCGAAGAUUUUGAGGGUGCGGAUGGUCUAAUUCCGGUAAGGGAAUACCGAUUUCGGUGAGAAACUCGCCGGAAAAACCAAACCAGCCGUCCUUUUUCUCAUGUAUUCCCUCUCUCCGAUCGAUUCUCUCCCUUUCUCGAUUUGGAUUGUCUUCUCUCCGAUCUCACGCUCAGAUUUGUCUCUCACUGUGGUUGUGUGUAUGUAUAAUGGUUUUGUGUGAAGGCAGGUGUAUUAAUGGAAUAAACUCAUCAGUGAUGGUGUCUAUAUAUUCCUCUUUCCCGUAUUCUAUAUGUGUAUAUGUUGAAUUGGGAUCUUUUUCUUUAUGGUUACCGUGAUGUUCGUCAAUGGCGUAUAGGUGUGUUCGUGCUAUAUGGGUCUUCUCUAAAAAUGGAAAAAUAUGGUCAGAAUGUUACUGUGGGGACAUCUAUAUUGUUAUCUAUUGUAUUCUUAUGUAUUCGCCUCCCUAUUUCUAUGUGAAGUAUAUGUGUAUAUUGUGAAUUCCAG